rnacentral:rRNA from 1 species
GAUGAACGCUGGCGGCGUGCCUAAUACAUGCAAGUCGAGCGAACGGACGAGAAGCUUGCUUCUCUGAUGUUAGCGGCGGACGGGUGAGUAACACGUGGAUAACCUACCUAUAAGACUGGGAUAACUUCGGGAAACCGGAGCUAAUACCGGAUAAUAUUUUGAACCGCAUGGUUCAAAAGUGAAAGACGGUCUUGCUGUCACUUAUAGAUGGAUCCGCGCUGCAUUAGCUAGUUGGUAAGGUAACGGCUUACCAAGGCAACGAUGCAUGGCCGACCUGAGAGGGUGAUCGGCCACACUGGAACUGAGACACGGUCCAGACUCCUACGGGAGGCAGCAGUAGGGAAUCUUCCGCAAUGGGCGAAAGCCUGACGGAGCAACGCCGCGUGAGUGAUGAAGGUCUUCGGAUCGUAAAACUCUGUUAUUAGGGAAGAACAUAUGUGUAAGUAACUGUGCACAUCUUGACGGUACCUAAUCAGAAAGCCACGGCUAGCUACGUG